rnacentral:rRNA from 1 species
UACAGAGGGUGCAAGCGUUGUUCGGAAUUACUGGGCGUAAAGGGAGCGUAGGCGGAUAGUUUAGUCAGAGGUGAAAGCCCAGGGCUCAACCUUGGAAUUGCCUUUGAUACUGGCUAUCUUGAGUACGGAAGAGGUAUGUGGAACUCCGAGUGUAGAGGUGAAAUUCGUAGAUAUUCGGAAGAACACCAGUGGCGAAGGCGACAUACUGGUCCGUUACUGACGCUGAGGCUCGAAAGCGUGGGGAGCAAACAGG